rnacentral:lncRNA from 1 species
ACACAUGACAACAAUACAAUUAAGGGGGAGGGCACAACAAUAUACAUACACUCACAGGAUUCCAUCAUCUUUCAUUUUUUGAUGACAAUAUACACACACACGUAAGAUGUACAGAGCUUCCUCACCAUUUCGUCUCUCAAUACAUACAAACACCUCAUACACGCACAUACCCCUCAAUUCACCAAUACACAGUUCCCACAGCCCACAUUACACAGAUUACACUCGCAGUAAUUCUCACACACACACACUGAAAAUUGGAGGGAGAUUGAGAGUGAAGAGAGAGAUUGAGAAAGACAGUGAUUGGAAAUCUGAGAGGAGAGAGGAAACAGACGUCGAAUGACACUAUUUCGGCGAGAACCCGCCAAAAAAGGUUGAAAACUCGGCUGAUUCACCAAUUCCCAUCGCUACUAGAGCUCACUGAAGCUCCGGCAAAAUAAUAACAACAAAACAUCCCUCUCCCGUCCCCGUCUUCGGUAAAUUCAUCGGAGAACAAAUUCCAAAUCUACCUGACCAGUCCCAGAUUCGGCGGAAAUUGUCAAAAAAUGAACGAAGCAGUAGUGGGGUGUGCAAAUUCGAGUACGGGUCUUUUGUUAUUUUCUUGAUUUUGAUCUAGGUUGGCGAAAAACAGAGAAAAAGGGUAUAUCGUGGUCGGGUUUAUUAGUGGAGGUUUGAAUUGAGGUUUUUCGGGCGCGCUUCUAUCUUCGAUAUAUCAAAAUCGACAAUUGAGGUCCAAUUCUUCUCUUUUCCUCUUUUUAUUUCAUUGUUUAUUAUAUUUGGUGUGUUGGAUUAAAUAUCAUGUGUUGUUUGAUCCUUGUUGGUGAUGAAUAGUGUCUUGGUAUCGAUUGAUUGUUGAUUUCGUUGAUUAUGUAUGAUGCGAUGAAACGAUAUAAUCACUUGAGAUUUGAAAUCUGUAAUUUGAGUAUAGAAUUGGGGGUGGGAAUUAAAAGAUUAAUAAGGUGCAUGUUGAUUAUUUUUAUUCAUUGAUGGAUAUGGUUGAAAUCGAUAGUAUCAUAUUUUAGAUCGUUUAAUGGGUAGACAAAUACUAAGUUUGGGUAGGCAAAUUAUAGAAAUAGAAGAUGAUGAUUUGUUGAAUGUGUGGAUGUCUUGUUGAAUGGUUCUUUCUAUUUUCAACGCACAAAAUUGAAAAAAUGUAUUCAUUUGACCGGAGAAUGCACCGAGGUCUUAUGUACUUAUUCAUUGGGGAAUACCUCAAAGCAUCUUGUACUCGAAGAGCAUUCGUGAUGAAGGUCCGAGGCAUUGGGUAAAGCAUAGAAAUGUAGUUUAGGAUUAGUAAGUAGGUUUACAUUUCCAUAUUUUUCUAUUUUUGGAACUGUAAUAAUUGGGAUGAAAACUAUAUACUUGUUUUGUUUUGUUUAUUUGAUUGAUUGUUUUGUGUGUUUUAUGUAAUUUAUACAUUCAUAGUGUCAAAUUAGCCGAUAUGCUCCACCAAACGAAUAUGGUCGAACCACGGGAUCGAGGGGUGCCUAACACCUUUCCCUCGGUCAACAGAAUUCCUUAAUCGAAAUCUCUAUUCGUGGAUCAGUUUUAAAGAGUCAAAAUCAUUUUCAAAAAGGAUAUCCAAGGGUGACUUGGCACAGCCGAUUUAUGCCAAGUGCCGACUCUGAGUUUUGAAUAUAAAAAGUUAUUUUCGAAACAAAUCUUCAUUUUGUCACUUAAUAAUAAAACCCUUUUUCAAACCUUAAAUUAAUUCUUUUUUGUUAAUAAAAGGGUGUGACUGCUCUGGCGACUCUGCUGGGGACAUUUUCAGUAGUCGAGCUUAUUUUUGAUAUUGUAUCGGCUUAGUUUAACAUUAUGAUUGUAUAGACGUUGUUUGCGAUAUUGUUUGUACACCCUCCAUCCCAAAUUAUAUGUCGCCAUUUUCUUUUCGGUCCGUCCCAAAAAGAAUGUCGCCUUUCCUUAUUAGGUAAGUUCUUAAAGACACAAUUACAAUUUUACCCUUAGUGGUCCUACUUGAUUUUAAAUACUAUUACUCAUUUUUUAUUUGUUUUUUCAAUUAAAAGUGGCCCAGCUUGAUUUUAAAUACUAUUACUAUAAUUUUGUAACUUUAACAAAGUCAACACUUAUUUCUUAAAUAUUGUGUCCGGUCAAAUAACGACAUAUAACUUGAGAUGGAGGGAGUAUUUAUUUUAUCAUUGUUAAUUGCCUACUUGCUACGUUUUUAUAGUUUUUACUCUUAUGUGUUACCGCUUUAUAUCUGACAUCAUUUGUAUAACCCGAGUCAAUUUUUUCUGCAACAAGUCUCGGAGUACACGUUGUGUACACGAACUCUAGUUGAGUCACCCUUAUUGUAGGAGGGGGACCCGUCAGAUGUAUGGAGUAGGUGGAAAGCAAAGCAACCACUAUUGACCAUAUGCUCCUUGAACGUCCUUGUCAGUGGACCCCAACGUAGGUCAGCCUUUAGAUCAUGCUUAUCUACAUCAUAUUGAGACCUAGCGGGACCUACUUGAUCCUUUGUAAGAGACUCGCCCAUAAAGCAUCUCUACGUGCUAAUUGUUGCAUCUUUGAGGGUAAUAUGAUCAUUUGAUGGACUGGUUUAGGGAAAACAUGUGUUAGAAUUAAAGGAGCGUGUGUUACGCAAGGAAAAAGAAAAGAAAAAAAAGAGUUUAGGAGUUUUUUUAGUGACCUUUAUGGCUUUUGUUUUUCACAAUUCAAAAAUUCAAAAAGACUUUUUACCUUUUGCACUCAUUUACUCAAAAAACAAAAUAUCAAAAAGAUUUUGCCUUUGUUUCUUUCUUUUAGCAAGCAUUCAUAAUUUGAAAAUUUCAAAAAAGAUUUUUUUUUUUGGAGUUAUUUUUUAUAAAGGAAAAAUUCAAAAAAAAUGAUAGAAGUUUUGUACAUUUCAUGUAACGAAAUACAAAAAGUUUUUUCUUUCAUAAUUGUUGGUGUCAAUCUUAUGUGAAGUGUCCAAUUGAACCCCCCCCCCCCCCCAAAAAAAAAAGAUUUUAUUGACAUUUUUUAUCAUCCAUCUUUGGUCAUGUCUAUCAAGUAAAGGUUCAGUUUGUUGUUUAAUCCUUAAUUAUCCAAUCUGGACGAAUUACACAUACCUGAUUCUUCUCUCUCGGGGCUGACAUACGUAGGCACCCCUUCCAGGGUUCAGUAAUCUUAUUUACAAAAACCACAAAAAGAUUUUUCUUUAAUUGUUUCAAGUUUAUUUUCGUAUGAAAUUCAAAAUUGAAACCCUAAAAAGGAUUCUUCUUUGGUAAUUAGAGGUUUCGUUUUGUAUAGAAAUCUGAAAAAAUUCAAAAAAAAUUUAUUCACUCUUCAUUUAGAGUAGGUAUCAUAUACAUCUCUAAAAGAAAACGACAAAAGAUUUUCUUUUAAUAGUUUCAAGUUUCAUUUUCGUAUGAAAUUCAAAAUUGAAAACUCAGAACGAGUUUCCUUUGGUGACCAUAAGUUUCAUUUUGUAUAGGAAGCUGAAAAAUUCAAAAAGAUUUUCGUCAAUUCUAUUGGCAAUUUGUUAUUUUCUUUUCUUCUUAAAGUUUCAAGAAAAAGAAAAAAAGAAAGAGAGUUGAUCGGUCGUUUUGUGGCCAAAUUUCAUGAACUACACACACCUGAUUUUACUCUCUCGGGAGUGAGAUAUGUAGGCGCCCUUCUUGGGUUCGGUGAUCUUUUUAAAAAAAAAAGAAAGAAAAAGAUUUUUAAAAAAGAUGUUGAACUCCAACACAUUUGUUAUCUCUUGUUCAGUUAGUUUAAGGUGGUUGGUUUGUGGCAUUUUGAUUGGUCCUCCAUAUCACACCAAGUCUAAGGGAGAGUUAGUCAUGUCCAACAAGGAUAUAGAGAGUGACAUCAUGGAUCAGACGAAGGGUAAAAAAAUGAGAGUUUAAAGGAAGAGAUUUUGAGACUAAGGUAACAAAUGAUAGAAAUACACCGAUCUUGGGCCAGUGGGUUGCCUUCCUACUAUCGUUGAUGCACCACAACAUGCCUCGAAAUUCAUGACAUGUCAGCUGCAUCCCAAUACUUCCACCACCUCUUCUCUAUCUCCUCAAUAUAAGCCUACUAUAUUCGCAACACCAUAUGUCGUCUGUGAUUUGUUGCUCAACCCUCUAUUGAGGCUUCCACAUUGGCUAUCCGUCCAAUGAUUGUGGUUUCCCAGGCCACUAGUGAACCCAUGUUCAAUACUCUUGAUAAUCAUUUCUAUACUUAUUAGCCACUUUUAAGUUAACUGGACCACCAAAAUUUCUUACCAAGAAGUCCGACAUGGCAGAAGAGCAAAUGGUUUGGAAAAUGAAGGGUAUAGAAAAUACUAUGAAAAGUUCCCUAGGACUCGUAGAUAAAGAAGAUGUUUCAUAUAAAUAUUGAGGCAUGUCUUCAAGUUUCAACCUUUUUCAAAGAUUUUAGAUAUUGAAAUUUGAAGAACAUGAUGGACAUUAGGAUUCUGUGAAACAUUUGGUACGAUACUGCAAUAAAUCAAAGGAAGCUGAAGGGAAAAAGAAGGAAGACGUACCUAUUGUCGUGCCAGGGCCAAAGCAGAGAUUGAGAGGUCCAACUCACUAAUACUGUCAGCAUCAAUCCCUAUCUUACUUAUUAGAUCCACAUACUCACCUACAACACGGUUUCUCAUUCCAAAAUCCAAGAUAUUCUACUUUACUUCCUCAAUAUCCUUUGAAAAAUGCACAAUUGUAUACUCGUCUGUUAUCUUAUCCACAAUGGCAAGCACCGAUCCCUCAACAUCAUCCUCAGCCCCCCCAUAUAUUUACCAAGGUGCCUCUAAAUCCAAGUUUCAACCAAGGCUAGAGUUUUUAAAGAGGAUGAAGGAAAGGGGUAAUUUCACUCAUAUUGGGGAAUCCUAUGCCAGUUUGUUCCAUAGAUUGAGAUAGUGGGGCUUGAUUACUCCUCUCCUUAGGUAUACACUCGACUCACAUUCAAGAAAUUUUGACCCUAAUGUAUGGUGCGAAUAUCAUUCUGAUGUCUAGGGUCAUAAUAUUAAAGAUUGUCGUAAUUUGAAAAGAGAAAUAGAAAAGAUGAUUCAAGAAAAGUGAUUGUUGCAAAAUGUUGACACCUCGAGCGUUACACAGAAUCCUUCAUCAACACAUGGUGAUGCACAGUACGUGGGAAGUAAUGAGUUGGGCAUGAGGAUCCAAAACUUAUUUGUUGAGGGAAAUGUGUUUGAUGGUGAUGAAAGCUCUAAUCAUGAUGUGCAAAUCAAUGGCUAAGAUGUCAAGCUCAGCAAUUGGGAACUCACUCUUCUCCCUGCUAGGAUAAAUGUUUGGUAGUUUGUUUUCUUUUCUUUUCUAUUAUCUGAAUUAUUUCAGAGUUGUAGUUCGGGAUCUAUCUUGUUUUGCCCCUUUGUCGUUUAUGUUCAAACCCUUCCAUCUUUCAUUUAAACUAAAUGGAGUGCCCCUUUUUCCUUUGUGUUUUAAAUAUGUGUUGUUGUUUGUUUUCUUUACACAGUAUAUUUUAUGUUGGUUCUAGUGACAUGACAUGCUAGUGUAAUUUUCAGCUAGAUCUUAAAUCAAGUUUAACCAAGAAUUUUGAAUCAGAGGGAUAAGGUUAGAAAAGAAUCUGAGAAAAUAGGUAGAGUGCUAAGAUAUUUGGCAACAAGUUGAAGCCUUCUUUGAAAAUUAAGACAAUUAUUUUGAGAAUCACAAGAGUAACUUGGUCCUCAAUUGAAAAACAUGUCUCAAUUAGGUUAAAAAGUGGCUGCGUGAUCUUAUAUUAAGAGGAACAGAAAGAAAAUCAGCUCCACAAAAGCAUGAGUAAUUCGAUGUGAGGGAUGUACAACAAAGGUGGAGUUGUAUGCUGGAAAACUGUGGAAAAAUAUGUGACACACAUUCUCAGUUAAAGUAUUGAUAAAGUGUCACAAAUGCUCUUCAUCUCGCUUUCAUAUUGCAUUUUUACGUACUUGCAUUUUCAAGGAUUGAUAUGACGAAGGCAUUUCAUUCUGCUAUCCAAACAUUGUGUCAUCCUUUGUUUACCCAUUUGAGCCUUAGUUCUAUUUUCUUUCAUACCCCUCUUUUGGAAUCAAGAUAAGAUUCAGCAAUGUUCAAAAGAAAAGUGUUGAGCAAAAGAAUAAAGUAAAAAAUGUGUCAAAAAGAAAGAAAAAGAAGUGUCAAGGAAAAUAAAGUCAGAAAAAUUUUCAAAGAUAAAUAAAAAAAAGAAAAGAAGUUAGAAUCAAGCAAAAGAACGAGUUGUUGGAACUACGUGUGACCUGAUUCUUCUUUCUCGGGGAUGAGAUAUGUAGGCUGCCCUACUCUGGGCUUGGUCCAACCAAAUAAAUAAUUUAGUAUUUCCCAGUAAAAAAAAAACUAGGGCAUGAGUUAAUCCUCAUUAUUUGAGUCGAUUCUAAAAGUUGUAAGUCCCACCCUACUUUAAAUAUCGUUUGGGCCUCAUGCCAUUCUUUCUUUCUAACCCUAUCCAAAAGCCAAGUUACAACCAAAGAAAGACCUUCAGACCAAUCUUUGAGGAUGUUAAGGCUAAGCAUGCAAGGGAUAUAAUGAUGCAUUUGGGAACUACUUGUCUUCCUCGGCAUAAGGAAUCAAGAGAGAAAUAAAAAUGAGAGUCUUAUUGAUGAAAACCCUCACGGGCACCGUAAGGCAAUGGUAAGUCGAUAGAUAAUAAAAUGAGAGUCUUAUUGGUGAAAAUCUUCAUAGGCAUUGUAAGAUGAUGGUAAGUUGAGAAAAAUAAAAAUGAGAGAGUCUUAUUCGUGAAAACCUUCACGAGCACCAUAAGGCAAUGGUGAGCUGCGAGAAAAAUGAGAGAGACUUGUUGGUGAAAACCCUUCAAAGUGUCACUAGCCGAAUGAGGUCUUAAAUGCAAUUGACCUAAGGAAGUAACUCAAAUUCAAGGCCAUUAACUCAACAAGAAAUGGUAAAAGUUUGGACGAAAAGAUCAGGCAGCUUAAUCCGAAAUGUAUGUCAUAUCAUUGGAGUUGACUGUCACUUUCAGAUAAAUUCUUCUUUUCUCUAUUUUAAUGGGGACAUUCAUUAUAUUUUCUUUCUUCUGAUAGUUUUAUUUUUAUUUUCUUGAGUCAUUUAUUCAAAUAAAAAAAUCAUUGUCAUUUUUCUCGUGUCUUUGAGUCAAGUUUAUGUCAAAAUAAGUGAGAAAAGUUUUCAAAAUUGGAUACUAACUUCUUCAAUUGCGCUAAGAAAGACAAAAGGAAAGCACAUGAAAGAAACAAGAUUGCAAGUCAGAACAAGGCAUACAGAAGGUUGUUGUCAACCAACAAAUUUGGAGAAUUCGUGGAAAUACCAAUAUCUAAAGGGGAUUGUCUUAGAAACAUAGCAAAGCAGAGAUACUGUGUUUGUUUUAGAGUCACUCUUAAUAAUCUGAGUCUGGAGCAAUGGUGAAACAAGGCAAUGACGAAUGUUAAUGAUUGGAAUUAAGAUUUUAAUGGGACCAGUGCAAGAGAAAUUGCCUCAAAAGCAAAAUCCGCAAGCCAACCACCUUGUUUAAAACUCACAAGUUUUCUUUGUUAUAAAACAGGAAUGGUUGCUACCUUUUAAUCAAAGUCUUCAAAGCACAAAUAUCCAGAGCUGCAAUUCCUCAUUUCUGCAAAUGCAAGAGCAUAGGUUUGGUAAUUGCAAUUAUGGUAAAACUUAUUAUCUUGUACCCCUAAGAGACACAUUCUCUAAUUUAGGCCUUUCAUGUCUUACGGCUAGGAGGUGCACUUCCUAAUUUGAACCGUUAGUUCUAAAAGAUGCACUUUUAGCAAGAACCUUUCACAUUCAUUCUUAAGAGACGAACUUUUUGGUCUCAGUCAUUCAAUUUUACCCUCAAAAGGGACAUUUGUUGAUCAGGAUCUUUAUUUAUCUUUGUAACGACCCUCCUGGUCUUGUGAAAUCUUUUCAACUUCCUUAUUCUAGCUCUUAUGGUAGUUUGUAUAUGUAAUUUAUGACUUACGAAGAUAGAUAGUACCGAUUCUUGAUGUGUUCUAGGUGAGUUAAGUUCCUAGUUGGGUAUUUUAGAUAAUUAAUUUAAUUAGUAAUUUAAUGGGUCCAAAACCAUAGUUUAACUACUUAUGGGGUCAAUACAAAAAAUAAAUUUAAGUUAGAAGGGUUUAUCGGGUAUAAUAAUAGAAGCAAAUAAUCCCAAGAAAGGGUGAACGACGGUUAGCAGCCAUAUUUUGUAUUCACCUCUUUAAAGAAAAUUCGUGACCUCUUAUAGGUUUCCUUUCUAAUAUCUUUAGAAUUUGAUUAGAAACUAGUAAAUAAAUGUUGUGUAGUGAUUUCCUGUAAUCAUUGGCAUAGUUGACCAUACAAAGUAAUAUUAAAAUAGUAAUAUGAGAGAUAUGAGAUAUUCUUACAAUUUGUCCUUUUAUAUGGAUUGGGAUAAAUCAGUGGAUACAAAUUUAUAUUAGGAUAGCCGGUCAUAUUUUAAUGAUGAUUAUGGGUUUUUGGUGCCUGCAGUGUCAUGAUAGAACUAUUUUGUUCUUGGCAUCAACAGCAUGCCUCGGAGAUUUGGAACUAACAAUUGUUAUUUUAGACAGUAACGACAUAGUAAUAAUAAUUUCAUAAUCAUAUUGAGGUUUAAGCGUAGAAAAUCAUUGUGUUUAAUAUGGAUGGAUUUUAUAAUUUAACAUGUUAUCAAACCAUAUAUGUUUUGGGUUAUGGUUAUAUAUAUGUGCUCUAUUGAUAAAUUAUUCUGCACUAGCUAUUUGAUAUCAUUUAAUUUUAAUGGGAAUAGUCUUCUUACUAUUUCGUUAGUACAUAAGACUAGAAUGAAUAUUUUAUUUAGCUAAACAAUUCGUUCAUGGCUAUUUGAUUGGAUUGGACUCGAUGUUCCUGUUUUGGCUAUUUGAUUUACUCAAUAUUGGCCAUUGAAUUGACAUAUUAUAUUGUUUGCUCUCUAAAUCAACAGGAGAUACUAUUUUGAUUAUUUCAUAGGUCUUAAGGGUAAAAAUGUGUAAAAUGGGUGUCACUAGAUUCGUACUCUUAUUGGGAUUAUAGUUUGAACAACUUUGAAAUAUUCGGAAGCUUUAUGGAAGGGCAAAACCCUUGCACAUUAGCUUGCUUUUGAGUUCUUCGAUUGAGGUAGGUUAUGAUUUAAUUAGAGUUUAGAAUCAACUUGAUUGUGUGUAUGCUCCUAAAUUAGAUACUUGUUGAUUGGUAUUCGGAUAUGCUUGAAAUUGUUGAUGUUUGGACUAUUGAUUUGUGUAUAAAUGAUUAUUGAAAAUUUACUUGAUGGAAUUGUCUUAUGACUUUAAAUGUACUUGUAAACUUGGUGCAUUGUGUUGUAUGCUUGAGGUAGUUUAAAUUUGAUAUUGAUAUUACUUGUUUAUAUGUUGGAUCGGGUACCAUGCCGGUAUGGAUAUGUAUAUAUUGGAUCGGGUACCACACCAGUAUGAAUAUAUAUAUGUUGGAUCGGGUACCACGCCAGUACGGAUAUGUAUAUGUUGGAUCGGGUACCACGCUAGUACGGAUAUUUAUAUGUUGGGUUGGGUGCCACACCGGUGUGGAUAUGUAUAUGUUAGAUCAGGUACCACGUUGGAUCGGGUACCACACCGAUACGGAUAUGUAUAUGUUGGAUCAGGUACUACGCCUGUAUGGAUAUGUAUAUGUUGGAUCGGGUACCAUGUUGAUACGGUACAUGAACAUAGAUUGUUCCCUGCAGGUCAUGACUAUUUGGGUAAAAAUAAGCCCCAUAGCAUGUGUGUACGUAUUUAUAUUGAUUCUGUGGAUGUUUAUAGCAUGGUUGAUACUCUUGAUGGUUAUGUGGCUUAUUUGUGAGCACUGUUUGACCUAUUGUUGUUGUUGUUGUAUUGUUGAUUCAUUGAAUAUUUAUUUUGUGACGAUGCCUGUUUACUUGUUAUCUAAUUUAUGUUGUGUAAAUGCUAUUAAAUUGAGUUGGCCUAUGAUACCUACCAGUACAUAGUGGUUUGUACUGAUACUACCCUGUACUUUUCUUUUGUUGAGUGUAGAAAGUGUUCUUGGGACUCAGACAUGACCUCACCUCUAGAGUUUGAUAGUAGAUCUUGAUCCAAGGGUGAGCACUCUGUCUCCAGGAUGCCAUAGGUCAUCCUAUUUAUUCUGUCCAUCUUUCGGGCAAUGAAACAUUCUUUAUUUACUUUAUUUUUGGAUAUCCCUUUAGACAUGAUCUUUGUUAGUAGUUCUUGUACGAUGACUUUCGGAUCUUGAAAAUUUUAGUAAGUAGUUUGUUUUAAUUCCGUAUUAACAAUGAUUAGUCUUGAAUUAUUGUUAUUAUGUUGAUUUUAUAAUAAUAUUAUCUUAAUAUUGAUUAAGUGAUUGGGUAAUAGUUCGAUUUAGAUGGUUCUCCCACAGAAAGAUUAGUGUGGGUGCCACUUAUGGCCAUUUGGGUCAUGACAAAGUUGGUAUCAAAUCCCUAGGUUUGUCGAUCUCGUCGUAUAAGAACAUGUCUAGUAGAGUCUUGCAGAACGGUACGGAGACGUCUAGAGUCUUGCAGAACGGUACGGAGACGUCUGUACUUUCCUUCGAGAGUCUAUGAGACACUAGAAAAAUUUAAAUUCUUCUUCCUUAUGUGUUACUACUUGAUUUCAAUUGGUAUCUGACUUUUUUUCACUCUUAUUCUCGAAGAUGGGUGUGGUUGAGAGGUAUGGUAUAGAACUAGUUGUCACACCACUUUUUAAACUCCAAAAAAGAUUCGUUUUAAGUUCGAAAGGGUUUUUAUUAUCAACGUGACAAAAGAUAAAAAUUUUGUUUCGAAAAGAAUUCACUUUAAAAUUAACUCAGAGUCGCCACUUGGCAUAAUCCGGUGUGCCAAGUCACCUUUGAAAAAUCCUUUUCAAAACGAUUUGACUCUUUAAAACUGGUUUGCAAACAGAGAUUCCGGCUAAGAAAUUCUGUUGAUCGAGGGGAAGGUGUUAGGCACCCCUCGGUCUCAUGGUUCAACCACGGUCGCUUGGUAGAGCGUAUCGGCUAAUUUGCCAUUCUGAAUUUAUAAACCACACAAAACAAACAAAAAACAAACAAACAAACAAACGAAAACAAAACGAACCAAAAAUAUAGUGUCCAGUCCAAUUUAUACAUUCCAAAUAGAAAAAUGCAAAAAAUAAAUCUUAUCUAACCUAUACUAAUUCUAAAUUUGCUCUCGUGCAUAACCCGACGCCUCGGGCCUUCAUUAUAAAUGUUCUCAGGGUACAUAAUACUUUGAGGCAUUCCCCGGUGAAUGAACAUAAAUACCUCGGGGCAUUCCCCGGCCAAAUGAUACAUUCAAUCCCGAAAUCAAUAAAACCAAACCGUUCACACUCAUUUCAAGCAUUCAAUAAUUCAACGAGCAAAACUUAUUCCUAAAUCUUUGCCUACCCGAGCCUACUUUUGUCUAUUCAUUAGGCCUACCAUGAUACUAUCACGUCAAUGAUAUUCAAUGAAUCAAAAUAAAUUAACGCUUGCUUUUUUAUCAAUUUCAAUUCCUACCCCCCUUAAAAAAUAGCUUCCUUUUCAAUCAAUCAAUGAUUAAUUGAUCUUUCAGUUUAGCACCUUUUCAAAAUUCAAAACCAACAUCCAUACAUCAACCAACGAAAAUUCAAACAUAUGAAUCAUUAAUACCCAUCACAACAGUUAAGACCACUAAAAUUAUCAAGAAAUCACGCCAAGGCCAUAUUUGAACUAAUAAAGAGAUAGAGUUGAGAAAAUGAACCUUUGAAUAUUACAAUGAUAUCAAUGUUUAAGAAAACCAGACUCGAAACGCUCGAAUAGAAACUCUCAACAGCGUCAAGAUCAUAACUAGAAUCGAUAAACAUCAGUCCAAAAUUGACCACAAUAACCUGACUAAGACCCAAAAUAGAAAUUCCAACCCGAUCGACGACACGAUUUGAUAAUAAAAAAAACCUCCAAGACCAUCAAUAACAACGAACAACAAACAUAGAUGAAACAAAAAAAAAACUCCCAACGAUACGAUAGAAAUCGAGAUCCAAGAGAUUCCGGCGAAGUAGUCGCCGGAACAGUGACCAAACCUGCAAAACCCUUUUCCGAAUAACUUCAAAUCUACCCUUUUUUCUUCCCCGUUACAGAUCCACCCUCAAUUUCUCUCUCACGUGCGAGUCUCUCGAUAUUUUUGGUCAAACUCUCCACUACCUGAUUGUCUAUUCCGGUUGUGUGUUCUGUGUGCGUGAGUGAGUGUGAAUUAGUGAGGUGUAGUAUAUGAGAUUGUGUGCAUGCGAGUUACUGUGUAAAAGAAAAGACGGCCCCAAAAUUGGAGUCCGUCAGUGUUUUUUUUUUUAAUGAAGAAGAUCAUGUUCUUGGUGUGUUAUGUGUAGAUGAUGAUAAGAGCAAGAACCAGAAAAAUUGUGAGGCCUACCCCCCCCCCUUUCUCUCGUGCACUGUGUGUGUAUAUAUUUCAAAAGGAAAGAAAAAUAUUUUUGGAGACUUAUGGGUCCAUCCCCCUAGGUAAUUUCCUGGAAAGUUCCCUGGGUCCUUUCUUUGUUAACAAGCAAAAUAAGAGAGGGAGUGAGGGGUCACGUGAGGUAGGGGAUAGGAGGGGUAGGGGUUCGGAUGUGUUGUCAAUUUUUAAUAGGUUGAGUUGUUGGAAUCUUUAAAAUAAGACAAAAUUAGUUAGGUUUGUUAAAUGGGUUAAAAACAAAACAAAACAAAUAAAUAAAUGAGUAAAAGAUGAGGUGGUUAUUUAUUUUCUUGGGGAAAAAUUACUAUGUGGAUAGGGUAUGUAGUAAAAUGAGGUAAACGAUAAAAUGUGUGAAGGGACAAAAUUACGUGUCUACAUCAUGCCCCCUUUGAAUGUAAACACCUAGUGUUUUCAUACAAAGAAGUAGACAACGAGACAGAAUUUUGUCCCAAUCAUUAUUCGAAGAAAGAAACAAAAGAAAGAAAGAGAACCGAGUCUUGACGGACAUCCUACCUACCCAUGUUAUGAGGGAAUCAAGUGACUGGUAUCUCCAAGGGUUGGAAGGAGAGGAACUAUACCGAGUUGGAGAGUCGAGUGAGGUUCCAUCGAGGUUUUGGUCCGCGGCUCUGUCAUUACAUCAAAAAUAAAAAUUACACGUUAAAACAUCAAUGAAAUUACAAAAUCCUAUCUAUGGAGCUUUCUUUGACUAUUUACUCGCUACUCCAUCACCUUAUUCUUCAGGCGGGCUCCUGACUUGCAAUUUCUUCACCCUGUUGCUUGACUUUUAACUUCUUCACCCUGUUCUUCAGGCGGGCGUCUGACUUGCUAUUUUUCUUUCGAUUUCUUCACCUUGUUGCUUGACUUUCCACUUUUCACCCUAUUUUCAAGUGGAACCCUGACUUUUAAUUUCAUCACCCUGUUCUUCAGGCGAGUUCUUGACUUUCCAUUUCAUCACCCCAUUCUUUAGGCGAGUUCUUGACUUAUAAUUUCGUUACCCUGUUCUUCAGGCGGGCACCUGACUUACAGCUUCAUCACCCUGUUCUUCAGGUGGGCUCCUGAACUCAAAAUAAAAGCUAGAAAUAAAAUUAUCCCAAACGAAGAUUAUGAUAAAGAAAAAUUUCACUUUUUCCUAAAAGUAAUGUCCCAUUUUCCAGGAGGGUCCUGAACAUAAAGUAAAUUCCCAUUUUUAAAGAGGGUCCUGAACAGAAAGUAAAUUCCCAUUUUUCAGGAGGGUCCUAAACACAAAGUAAAGUCCCAUUUUUCAGGAGGGUCCUGAACAGAAAGUAAAAUUCCAUUUUUUAGGAGGGUCCUGAACAGAAAGUAAAAUUCCAUUUUUCAGGAGGGUCCUAAACAGAAAGUAAAAUCCCAUUUUUCAGGAGGGUCAUGAACAGAAAGUAAAAUCCCAUUUUUCAUGAGGGUCCUGAACAGAAAGUAAAAUCCUAUUUUAAGGAGGGUCCUGAACAGAAAGUAAAGUCCUCAUGGAUGUGUUUUUCCAAUGGUAACUGAAUUAAAUGAAGUGAAUUUGCCCCUAUUUCAACAAAGAAAAUUUGUCAGUUAAAAACUUAGUGGUGGCUUGUAGCACUUGGCUUCCCAGGGAUCUGCUCCAACCAUUGUUCCUUUCACCUUUGUUUCAGAUCACUGAAACUUAUCUCUGUCUUGUCGCAUCAUUGACCCAGAUCCAAAUUGAGGGAAAUGAGUUUUGACUCGAACAAUGAGUCUCCAUUUUACCAUGCCUCUGAGAUGCACCCUUUUCCAAAUCUUAAUACUCCCACGAAUCCAGCAGCCUGUCGGUUGAUAGACUUCCUUUUCUUUGUGUUGAAUUACGAUCAUAUUUCUUUCAUGUGCUGGUCCUUGGCUUUUCCUCAGAAAAUUGGAAAGACUGGUAGCAAGUUUUGAAAUCUUUUCUCGCUUGUUUUGACACAGACUUGACUUAAAAUGUAGAGAAAUGAUGGUGACUGUUAUUUUGAUAAAUGACAUAAAAAGACAAAAUAUGAAUAUGUAAUGAAAGAAAAAGGAAAUGUCCCUUAUUCAAAAAGAAAACUUAUCUGAAUACGGCAACCAAUUCCAAUGAGUAUGACAUGCAUUUUGGAUUAAGCUGCCUGAUCUUCCUAUCCAAACUUCCCAUUUUUUGUUGAGUUCAUGCCUUUGCCACUGAGCCACUUCUUCAAAUCCAUUGGACUCACAUAACUCAUUCAAUUGAAAACAACUUAAAAGACUUUCGCCAACAAAUCUCUUUCCUUUUCACUUUUCUCUCAAACUCGCCAUCGCCUUACGGUGCCCAUAAGGGUUUUCACCAAUAAGACUCUCAUUUUUAUUUCUCUCAGCUCCCCAUCGUCUUAUAGUGCUCGUGAGGGUUUUCACAAGUAUGAAUCUCUCAUUUUUAUUUCUCUCGACUCACCAUUGCCUUAUGGUGCCCGCGAGGGUUUUCACUAAUAAGACUCUCAUUUUUAUUUCUUUCCUGAUUUUUUAUACUGGGGAAGACAAGUAGUACCCAACAAUGUAUCAUUAUAACCAUUGCAUGCUUAGUCUUAACAUUAUCAAAGAUUGAUUUGAAGGACUUUCUUUGGUUGUAGCUUGGCUUUGGAUAAGGUUAGGAAAGGAUGACAAGAGACUCAAACGAUACUUGAAGUGGGGGUGGGAGUUACAACUUUUGAAAUCGACUCAAACAACACAUUAACUCAUGCCCCAGUUUUUGUUGACUGGUACCAGAAUCUAAAAUCUUUAUUUGGUUGGACCGAGCCCUGAAUAGGGAAGCCUAUGUAUCUCACCCCCAAGAGAGGAGAAUCAGGUCGUACAUAGUUCCAUCAGCUUGUUCUUUGUUUUGAUCUAAUUUUCUCUUCUCUUUUUUUUCUUUUAUUAUUAUUUAUUUAUUUUUAUUAUUUUUUUAUUGACAUUUCACUUUUUGCUUUGUUUUGAUUCCAAAAGAGGGAUAUGAAAGAAAAAGAGGACUAAGCUCAAACGGGGUAAACAAAGAAUGUCACAAUGUUUGGAUAACAGAAUGAAAUGCCUUCAUCAUAUCAAUCUUCAAAAAUGCAAGUACUAGACAUGUACUAAAAUCAACAAAGGAUAAAAUAUCAUACAUAAUAUCUUUUGACCGCAUCAACAUUGAUAGCCAUUUCUGCCAUUUUGCCUUCAAUAUCUGUCAAAUAUAAGGCUCCAUUGGGCAACACUUUCUUCACCAUGAAGGGACCUUGCCAAUUAGGGGAGAACUUGCCUUUUGCUUCAACCUGAUGAGGAAGAAUACAUUUCAAUACCAACUGACCAACUUCAAAAUUCCUGGGACGUACCUUUUUGUUAUACGCUCAAGCCAUUCUCUUCUGAUACAAUUGGCCAUGACAUACCGACUUCAAUCUUUUUUCAUCAAUCAAACUCAAAUGUUCCAAUUAGGUUUUGGCCCACUCAUCAUCAUCAAUCUCUGAUUUCACAAUGACUUAAAGAGAGGGAAUUUCAACUUCAGUGGGAAUGACUGCUUCUGUCCCGUACACCAAUAAAUAUAGAGUUGCCCCUGUUGAAGUGUGAACAGUAGUGCGAUACCCUAGCAAUGCAAACGGCAACUUCUCAUGCCAUUGUCUAUAUCCUUGCACCAUUUUCUGUAGUAUUUUCUUGAUAUUCUUAUUGGCAGCUUCCACCGUGCCAUUUGUCUUUGGAAGAUAUGGAGUGGAAUUUUGAUAUACGAUCUUAAACUGUUGGCAUACUUCUUGAAUCAAAUGUCUAUUGAGAUUGGCAGUAUGUCUGUAAUGAUCAUCUUUGGAAUUCCAAACCUACAAAUGAUGUUGGCAUGAAAGAAAUCUACUACCGCCUUCUUUGUUACCGACUUGAAAGUUACUGCUUCUACCACUUUGUGAAGUAAUUAAUGGCCACCAGAAUAAACCUAUGCCUAUUUGAUGCUUUUGGCUCAAUCAGUCCAAUCACGUCCAUUCCCCAGGCUAUGAAAGGACAUAGAACAACCAUUGCGUGCAACUCAGUUGGAGAAGAAUGUAUUAGAUCACCGUGUACCUGACAUUGAUGACACUUGAGAACAAAUCGAAUAGAAUCCCUCUCCAUAGUGAGCCAGUAAUAGAGAAUCUUCUUUGAUAAGACAUAACCGUUCAUAUGAGGCUCGCAUACUCUGGAGUAAACUUCAACAAUGAUUGCCGAAGCUUCUUUUACAUAUACAUACCUCAAAAGUCCCAGAUCCGGGGUUCUCUUGUAUAAGACUCUUCCACUUAAGAAAAAUCCACUAGCCAAAUGCCUAAUAGUCCUCUUUUAAUCAUUGGUGGCAUGUGCUGGGUAUUCUCCUGACUGGAUGUACUGCUUGAUAUAAAAGAACCAAGGUUCUCCAUGGAGCUCUUCUUGAACUGCAUUACAAUAAGUGUGUUGAUCAUGACUCUGAAUAUGCACUGGAUCGAUGUAGGCCUUAUCAGGAUGUUGGGGCAUCGAAGAUAAAGUGGCCAACCCAUCAGCAAUCUCAUUGCAAAUUCUUGGAAUAUUCCUAAACUUUACAGACACAAACCGUUGACAUAGAUCUUUCAAGCAUUGUCAAUACGGUAUUAGCUUUAAAUCUUGCGUCUCCCAAUCACCUUGAAUCUGAUAGUCGAGCAAAUCUAAAUCCCCAACACUAUUAGUUCCUGGACUCCUAUAUCAACAACUAGCCUCAACCCAGAAUGCGAGCUUCAUAUUCUGCCAUGUUAUUGGUACAAUAAAAUCGAAGUUGUACUGUUACCGAAAAAUAUUGCCCCACCUCAGAGAUAAGAACAACACCUAUUCUAACUCCCUUGACGUUAACAACUCCAUCAAAGAACAACUUUCAACCUGGAUCAACAUCUAUAAUGACUUCAUCGACACACAAUACCUCUUCAUCUGGAAAAUAUGUCUUUAAUGGGUCAUACUCUUCAUCAAUGAGAUUCUUAGCAAGAUGAUCUGCUAAGGCUUGGUAUUUCAUGGCGGUUCGAGUCACAUAUACAAUGUCAAACUUGGUAAGCAAUAUUUUCCACUUUGCCAAUCAACUCGUUGGCAUAGGCUUAUGAAAUAUAUACAUCAACAGAUCUAUGCGGGAGAUGAGAUAAGUAGUAUAAGAUGAAAGAUAAUGCUUAAAAUUUUGUUCUACCCAAGUCAGGGCACAACACGUUCUUUCAAGAAGUGUGUACUUGGCUUCAUAUGUUGUGAACUUCUUGCUAGGUAAUAAAUAGUUUAUUCCCUUUUGCCCGUGACAUCAUGCUAACCCAAGACACAACUAAAGGAAUUGUCCAUGACUGAUAAAUAUAUGAUCAAAGGCCUACCAGGAUCCGGUGGUACCAGCACGGGCGGAUUUAACAGAUAUCUUUUGAUUUUAUCGAACACUUCCUGGCAUUCUUCAAUCCACUCUACCACAACACUCUUUUUCAGCAACUUGAAAAUGGGCUCACACGUGGUUGUGAGUUGAGAAAUAAACCUGCUGAUGUAGUUCAAUCUACCCAGGAAACUUAUCACCUCCGUCCUAUUCUUGGGUGAAAGCAGAUCUUGGAUGGCUUUGAUUUUCGAGGGAUCCAAUUCAAUUCACAGAUGGCUGACUACAAACCCCAACAACUUUCCAGACGGAACUCCAAAUACAAAUUUUGCUGGAUUGAGCUUGAGAUUAUACCUGGGAAGCCUUCUAAAGAACUUUCUUAAAUCUUUUACAUGGUCAACCUGGCUCUUUGAUUUAAUAAUUACAUCAUCUACAUAGACUUAAAUAUCCUUAUGCAUCAUAUCAUGAAACAUGGUGGUCAUGGCUCUCAUGUAUAUUGUUCCAGCAUUCUUCAAACCGAAUGGCAUCACUUGAUAAAAUAAGUACCCCACAGUGUGAUAAAAGACGUCUUUUCCACGUCUUCAUCAUCCAUAAUGAUCUGGUGGUAUCCAGCAUAACAAUCCACAAAAAAGGCUACCUCAUAUUUAGCGCAAUUGUUCAGCAAAAUAUGGAUGUUGGGCAGCGAAAAAUCAUUAUUCGGACUUGCUCUGUUCAAAUCAAGGUAAUCAACACAUACUCGAAUUUUGUCAUCUUUCUUUGGGACAGGAACAACAUUGGACAACCACGUAGGAUAAAGAGCCACUCGAAUGACUUUGGCUUUCAGUUAUUUCAUAAUUUCCUCUUUGAUUUUAAUACUUACAUCAGUUUUAAACUUCCUCAACUUCUAUUUCACAGGGAGGGGAAGGCAGGAUCAGUUGGCAAUUUAUAAGACACUAAUUCAGUGGUUAAACCGGGCAUAUCAUCAUAAAACCAUACAAAAACAUUCUUAUAAUCAAUUAAUGCUUGAACCAUGCCCUCUUUUAGCUGUGGCAAAGCAUGUACACUAAUUUUAGUUUCCCUAACAUCUUCUUGAUUCCCUCGAUUAAUUGGGUCAAUUUCAUUCAAAUUAGGAUUUGAAUUGUCUUCAAAUUGUUUCAACUCUUUGCUUAUUUCUUCUAGUGCCUCUUAUUCAUCAUAUUCCCCUCUUGCUUCAAUAUAUCUUGAUUAGUUUGGAUUUUAAGAUUAGGCUAAAAAUUUCACAUGCAUGUCAUGUCAUUAGAGUCAGCAUAAAGAGAACUGUAUAAAGAAAAGACAAAACAAAAUACAUUAGACAAAAAAUAAAAGGGACAUUACAUUUCAUUAAAAGGGAAAGGUAGGAGGGUUUAAACACAAACAACAGAAUAUAAACAAGCUAAAUUCUGAGUUACAACCCUGGAAUAACUCAAAAAACUGAAAGGAAAACAAAAUAAACUAUCAAAACAGCCUCCUGAUGGGGAGAGGAGUGACUUCCCAAUUGUUGAGACAGACAAUUGGAACUAUGAACUGCACAUCUUCCUUACUGGUACCUUCUCCUGCUUCAACCAUGUCAACUUCAAUCAAUAGGUUCUGGAAGUCAUCAACCAAUUUAGCUUUAAAUUCUACAUGCUUUAUGACACCGCUCUUGACAAAUGACUCACUGAGUAGCGGCGUUGGGUGAGGGAGUGACCAUGUUUCCUUUUUCCUUUCCUUGGCCUCCUUCAGAUCUUCAGUCGUAGGUUCAAAACCCAGACCAAAAGUGCCUAUGUUCUCCCUCGGACAUAUAGGACGAACUAUACCAUACAGAGACACUCCCAAACCUUUUCCUGGCACAAAUCCAUACUUCAACAUCUCAUUCACCAUCAUGAAAGAAGUAGAAGACAAUCGUGGUCCCGACAUAACCUUCUCCUCAAGAAUAAGAUCCACCGACACUGUAUCAAACGACUGAUAGAUAAAUGUAUCCUCUACACUAAUUGCUUCAAUAAGAGGGAUGAGAGAAUCUUUGUGGGCGGACAAAUCCCUUUUGCCAUGAAUAACCACUUCUUGCCUGUCAUGCUCAAACUUGAUCAUCUAGUGCAAUGUAGAUGCAACAGCCCCAACUUUGUGGACCCAUGGUCUUCCCAACAACAGAUUGUAUGAGGAGUCAAUAUUCAUCACUUGGAGCUCUAUGGAAAAUUCAACAGGCCCUAUAAGCAACAUUAGUUAUAUUUCGCCAAUGAAGUCUGUUUUAGCCCCAUCGAAAGUCCUGACACAUACAUUAUUCGGCCUAAUCCUCUCGACACCGAUGUUCAACUUUUGUAGUGUAGAUAUAGGGCAAAUAUUUAUGCCAGAACCUCCAUCAAUCAUGACAUGAGUGACGCAGAAAUCUUAACACUUCACGGUAAUGUAAAGACCCUGGUUAUGCCCCGUACCUUCAACUGGAAAUUUGUUAUCAGAGAAGCUGAUUCGAUUUACUUCAAAGAUUUUUUCGACUAUUUUCUGAAGCUGAUUUAUCGUAAUCUCCUUAGGAAAGUACGCUUUGUUUAAUACCUUCAGUAUAAUGUCACGAUGUUCCUUGGAAUGCAACAACAAAGAUAAGAGGGAAAUUUGAGCAGGGGUCUUCUUCAACUGAUCUAUUAUUGAAUACUCUGGAAAUUUCAUCUUUUUCAAAAAUUCUUCAACUUCUUUUUCGGUGACAGGCUUCUUGACAGAUGAAGGCCCACUUACCCCUGGCUUGGGCUUCAUCAAACCUUUAAGCACGAAGCAUCUUCCUGACCGAGUCAGACCCCCUAUCACAUCUACUUCUUCCUCGACUUUCUUUCCUUAAUAAGUCAUCACAGUCUGCUUAUAGUUCUAGGGUACCUUUUUCGUAUCAACUGUCGGAGGUUGGGUCACCGGUUUGAUGAUAAUAGGCGCUGCAAGUACUCCUUUCACUGUCAAGAUAGGCUUACCCGGAGCUCCUAUCACCAUUAAAUUAUGCUCGUCUUAACUUAGACCAACAUUUUUUCUGGCUCCUUGCACCACAAUCACAGGUUUCUUUGUGCUUUCUUGGACUUUAUCUUCUCCCAUUCCUUCCUGGCUUAAUGACAUUGCUUUCAAUGAAUCUUCAACAUUCACCUAUUUGUCCUCCUUGGUUUGUAUUCUGACAAUAGGCUUAUAACACAUUGAUGACUCUUUGCCAUCAUAUAUCAACUCCAAUAUAUUAGUUUCAGCAUGGUUGGCAAUGGAUUCUGGUUAAUGUUUGGAAUUUACAGGGCCUGGACUAGAAGUUGAUUUGCAUCAAUUAAAUCUUAGAAAACUCUCUUCAAAUGCCAGCAUUUCUCGAUGUCGUGCCCCGGCAUAUCAAAACAAUACGCAUAUCUUAAUGAAUAAUCAAGAUUUCUCGGAGGUGGAUUCAAAAGCCUUCCUUGAAUUAGGCUCAAUACCUUCAAAUUCCUCAACCUAGGUUGGAAAGCGGGUUUGGAGGGUUUUUGGUAAUUUGGAGGAGCUGAAGGACGAUUUUGAGGAGCUUAUGCAUGCCAUUGUGGGUAAAAAAGGGUUUGAGCAUAUGCUUGUGCGCUAUUUACUGGGUACGGGGGUGGUGGAAUGGAAUAUAGUGGGUUUUGUAGGGGAUAGUAAUGAUGGGAAAGAAUAUAUGGAGCUUGGGCAUAGGCUUGGGCUUGGGGUUAGUGAUAGGGGCAAGGUGGUCUUUUGGGAUAGGAAUGGGAUAUAGCUAUAAUGGUUGCCACCUCCUCUUUCUUAUUUUUUACCUCCAAAAGUUCCAGAGCCACCUUGAAUUGCUUGGGUGAUGGCUUUUAAUGCGGCAAAACUCAUAAUCCAUCUAGUCUUGUUUCUGUCCUCUAUCAUCUCUCCCAUUUUUAGGACUUCAAUAAAUGACUUUCUCAUCGCCGGAAGUAAAUGUUGAAAAUAGGUCUCAUCCUAUGCCAGAAUGAAGACCUCUACUAACUUACUCUCCUUCAUUGGAGGUUUUACCCUUGCGGACUGUUCACGCUAUCUUAUCGCGUAUUCCCAAAAACCUUUAGUACUUUUCUUUUUCAUAUUGACCAGGGAUUUCUCAUCAGGAACCAGAUCGAUGUUAUAUUGAAAAUAUUGCACAAAUUCAUUAGCUAGGUUAUCCCAGUUGUUCCAAUUGUCAAUAUCCUGAUCGAUGAAACAUUCUAAAGCCAGACCGGAAAGACUCUCACCAAAGAAAGCCACAAACAACUCUUCUCUUCCCCCUGCAGCCCUCAAUUGGUUGCAAUAACGUCUCAAAUGCGCCACGGGAUCACCGUUUCCCUCGUACUUCUCAAAUUUGGUCAUUUUAAAACCAAGGAGAAGGUUAACGUCUGGGCAUAUGCAAAGAUCUCUAUAGGAAACACUCUUAUAACCCCCGAUUCCUUGUAAAUUCCUCAUGGCCUGUUCUAAAAUUUUCAAUUUCCACGCUAUGACUUCUUGUUCCUCUAUUGUAACUAGCUUCUCUGUAUCAAAUGGAAAUGCAGGUGGAUGAGUGUACCCAUAUGGUUCAUUCAUCUUCAAAGUAGGUUCCAGGGCAUAAUACUGAUUAUCUGAAACCUUCAAUACUGGCUCACUAACAGACUGAAGGAGUACCAUUGUCGGACGUACAGUAUAGAUUGGAGCUUUAGGUGGUGGCGGAGCCACGAACACAGGCGCUGCCGGUGGCUCCGAAUGAGUCACGGGCCUUAGUUGAGGAACUGCUAGGGGAACACUAUAAGUGCCAGGGUAAUAUUGCCGUGGAGUGAAUCCGUUGACUCAAUGGGAACAGUGAAUUGCGCCUAAGAGAGCUGUGGGCAAUUAGGGAAAUUCCCAAGAUCUUUAGGGAGUGGAGGAGGAGGCAUGCCACUAGCCCAUGCUCGGUGAAGAUCUAGCAAUUGUUGUCUAAGUCUUAAUACCUCAUCAUUGCGUUCUAAACUUUCUUUCCUGGGAUCCUGAUCUGGGUCAAUGAGUGAAUUUUCAAUCUCCCUACUAGACAUGACAAGCUUAUCUUUUGAUCUAGUGAAGUACAGAUGCCUAGACAAAGUGCUACAAAGCAACCACUUAUCUGAAAGAACAUGCUCAUCAAAGGCAAAACCCAUUAGGAUUAGGUCAGGAAACAAGCAUAGAAAUCACAUAGUAUACAUCAUAGGUUUAUGUACAUUUCUACUGGCCUUUGAGGGUACUGAGGCCAUUUUAACAUCAUCCCGAUUUUCUCAUUACAUUAUCACACCUCGUUCUUUCUGCUUUUCACCUUCACUUCUUCCUUCUUUUGCAUCAAUUUCUUCUCUUCCUCUUUUCUUCUCUCAUUGCUAUUUCUUUCUUUUCUUCUCUCGCUAUCUCAUUUCUUUUUGUCAUUCUUUAUGGGUUUUGCUUUUCUUUAAAAGAGGAAAAUAAUGAAAAACAAAGAAACAAAAUGAUUAGAUCGAACCCAAAAGUAGGUUGCCUACGUAUCAUAUUAAUGAAUCAGAUCUUGCGUAGUUCGGGAGACAUAUGCACAAAUAUCACAUAAUUGAAGAUUUUUGAUUUUUGAUUUUUUUUUUUGGCGAAAAACAAACAAAAGAAAAAACCAACAUCACUACAUUUCAUAAAAGGGAUGACUCAAACAUACUUCAAAUUUAAGACAAACUUAAAACUAAUCAACGAAAACUAAACAACACUCUAGACAUAUAGGACAACAUGCGUAACAUUCCUUAUAAAGACCCUAGCGUUAAAACAAACUGGACAUCGACUUAACAAAGACACAAUACUACAAUGGCAGAAAAGUAAAGGACUCAAACUAAACAAAAGAUAAGAAAUGCUCUUUCAAACUGGUGCGUCGUGUGAUGACCCUGGAUGAGAUGGACCUUUCUGUGAAAUUCUACUCAAACUAUAUAGCAUAUCUUGCAAGGACAGUUUGAUAUUUUGGAAGAAACUUCUAGCACGUAUUCCUGCCUCAUGGGGAGUGCACCUGAAAAGACUGUUCUGACAUAUUUCCACAGUUGCGAGCAAACCUGAUAACUGAACUCUCAACUCCUCCACUUUGAUCCCCGCACCCUCAUCUUGACGAACAUCAACUAUGCAUUCUUCCUGUGUUCUUCCUCUAAGCUGUGCUGGUAAUGGUCUACUGAUACCCCGAGGCAUGGACUCUAGCCAGAUCUCAUAUCUCUGAGUGUACCCCGGAUUAUCCAAACCUUUUUUAAGAGUGUCUACACCUAGCAUUGUUGCAUGCUUCCAUAACUGCUCGUAUUUCCUCUCACCUAAGGCUUGGUCCUUGAAGUACUCAACAUUCUUUAGAAGAUCCACUACUGUUUGCACGUCCUGCGGCCUGCCCAACUGGCGCAUUAUCCUAGAAGGACUGUAUGGUCUAGUGCAAUUGAGUCCUAACAUAACUAUAAGGAGCUGCAUCUGACAACCAAACAAGAUUAUUUUUGGGCGAAGCCACAGAUAAGUCUACAAAAUGUUAUCCUCGGUUCUUGACUCAAGAAAUUCAAUCCAAGCAUCGACUCCCACGAGUUGCGAGAAUUUAUCAAAGCGCCACCUGAGGUCCAUGACUUUCACUCGAUUGGGAACACAACUAUCAACCAUGUCUGGUCUAACUAAAGAAGGCGCAUGCAAAUGCUCCAUCAUCCACAACUACAAUAUCAGGUUACUGCCCUCCAAAAAUCUCAUCCCCCGUUUACUUCGGUUAAAGCGUUAUAUAUUUCUGUUAAGAUCAUGGGUAUAAUAGUGAACUUUUCCUUUUGAUUAGUGACCUUGACCUUUUGAUUAACGAUCUUGCCUUUUUGAUAUGUGAUAUUGUCUUUUUUAUCCUUAUGAAAUAGAGCCAUUACCACAGAUUGCAAGCGUGUAUUAAUACGCCUUUCUUCUAGCGGAAACACUAAAGUGCCUAACAGAGCGAGGGUGAAGACUUCAAGAUGUUUUCUUUCCCAAUUAUGCUUAGUCAUAUAAAAUUCAUCCCAAAAGUAGUCAAAACCUUUCAAGGACCCAAACCUAGCGAAUAAAAAGUCAAAGGAAAUCCAUGAUUGAUUCAGAUAACCCAAAUGCUUGUUGUUACUCUUUAACCCACAACCUUGUAGAAAUUUAUUGCCCGAGUGAUUCUGAGCUCGGAUCAUACUCUUAUCGAUAUAAGGCAAAUAAAGCAUACCGAAUAUUUCUGCCAAGGUAGGAGUCAUUCAUAGUUUCCGAACCUGAACACCACACUACUAGGAUCCCAAAAGGUUAACAUAGCAUCUAUUAGAUCUGGCCGAGGUGUAAGAUAUAGAAGCUCCAUAGGAUCACCUAGUAUCUUAAUUACCUCUUGCUUAUUAGUACAGUUGGACGUGCCCCACCACUUGAUUAACUUUUUGGGUACUUUGGAAACCAUCAAGUCUCUAGAACCUAUGGGAUUCAUCCUGUAAGAACAAACCAUACUCAAAAUUCAAAACAAGAGAAAGAGCUCCCGACCCUCGGGAUUUUAGCUUAGAGAAAUAUCAUAUGACAUAGAGGGACAGAUCGACCUAUAACUUAAAUAUACCGAACAGUACCGCCGAAUGAAAUCAGCCUACUUGGCAAGGACCAGUUGACAACACUAGAUUACGAGGAGAAAGACCCUAGCCUAAGAUCGAGAUGAAGAUCAAGGUAAAAAGAUUACCGGACCUGCCGAGGGUUGCCUACGUAUCCCACCUCGAGGGACGAGAAUCAGGUAUGCGUAGUUCAUCCAGAUUAGACAAUUAAGGACUACAAUGAACUAAGACUUGACCUAAUAGGUGGGAUUACAGACGGACGAUGGAAAUAACAUCUUUUUGGGUUUUUUAAUAAACACUUUACAUAAAAAUAGUACCACUAUGAAAUUAAAAUCUUUUUGGUAUUUUCAUGAAAUGUACAAAACUCCUACAAUUUUUUUCCAAUUUUGUUUUAUAAAAACUCCUAUGAAUGAAAAAUCUUUUUGAAGUUUUCGAAUUGUGAAUGCAUGCUAAACGAGACAAAGGAACAUUUUUUUUGAUGUUUUUGUUUUUGAGAAAUGAGUGCUAAAGGUAAAAGUUUUUUUUUUCUUCUGAAUUUUUGGAUUGUGAAAAACAAAAGCCAUAAAGAACUCGAAAAACUACGAAACUCUUUCUUUUUUCUUUUUCUUUUCUUUUUUUCCAUUACCCAUACACUUUACUUCUAACACAUGUUUCCCCAAAUUAGUCCGUCAAAUGACCAUGUUACCCUCAAAGAUGCAACAUUUAGCACGUUGGGAUGUUUUAGAGGUGAGUAUCCUAUGAAGGACCAAGUAGGCCCCGCUAAGUCUCGACAUGAUGCACAUAAACAUGACCAGAAGGUAAUAUGACCUGAAGGCUAACCUACGCUGGGGUUCACUAACAAGGCUGUUCGGGGGAGCGUAUGAUUGAUAGUGGCUGCGGCAGCUUUCCAUCUACUCCAUAUAACCCAACGGCUCCCCCAUUCUAAAAUAAGGGUGACUCAACUAUAGGUCGUGUACACACGUGUACUACAGACUUGUUGCAGAAAGAAUGACUCGGGUUAUGCACAUGACGUCAUAUAUAAAAAAGUAACAUAUUAAAUAAAAACUGUAAACAAAGAGCACGUAGGCACUCACCAAUGAUAAACAAUAACACAAAAUAACACAAACAAAAUGUCUAUACACCUAUAAUGCCAAACUAAGACGAUACAACUCCAAAAUAAGCUUGAAUUCUAAAAAGUGCUCCCCAGCGUAGUCGCCAGAGCUGUCACACCCUUUAUAAACUCCAAAAAAGAUUCAUUUUAAGUUCGAAAGGGUUUUUAUUAUCAACGUGACAAAAGAUGAAAAAAAUUUCAAAAAGAAUUCACUUUACAAUUAACUCAGAGUCGCCACUUGGCUUAAUCCGGUGUGCCAAGUCACAUUUAAAAAGUCCUUUUUAAAAUGAUUUGACUUUUUAAAACUGAUUUGUGAACAGAGAUUCCAGCUAAGAAAUUCUGUUGAUCGAGGGGAAGGUGUUAGGCACCCCUCGGUCCCGUGGUUCAACCACGAUCGCUUAGUAGAGCGUAUCGGCUAAUUUGACAUUAUAAAUGUAUAAAACACACAAAACAAACAAAAAACAAUAAAACAAACAAAGAAAACAAAACGAACCAAAAAUACAGUGUCCAGUCCAAUUUAUACAGUCCAAAUAGAAAAAUGCAAAAAAUAAAUCCUAUCUAACCUAUACUAAUUCCAACUUCGCUCUCGUGCAUUACCCGAUGCCUCGGGCCUUCAUCACAAAUGUUCUCAGGGUACAUAAUACUUUGGGACAUUUCCCGAUGAAUGAACAUAAAUAGCUUGGGGUAUUCCCCGGCCAAAUGAUACAUUCAAUCCCGAAAUCAAUAAAACCAAACCGUUCAACACGUAUUUCAAGCAUUCAAUAAUUCAACGAGCAAAACUUAUUCCUAAAUCUUUGCCUACCAGAGCCUACUUUUGCCUAUUCAUUUGGCCUACCAUGAUACUAUCAUGUCAAUGAUAUUCAAUGAAUCAAAAUAAAUUAACGCUUAUUUUUUUAUCAAUUUCAAUUCCUACCCCCUCCUAAAAUAGUUUCCUUUUCAAUCAAUCAAUGAUUAACAGAUCUUUUAGUUUAACACCUCUUCAAAAUUCAGAACCAACAUCCAUACAUCAACCAACAAAAAUUCAAACAUAUGAAUCAUUCAUACCCAUCACAAUAGUUAAUACCACUAAAAAUCUCAAGAAAUCACGCCAAGGCCAUAUUCGAAAUAAUAAAGAGAUAGAGUUGAGAAAAUGGACCUUCAAAGAUUACGAUGAUAUCAAUGUUUAAGAAAACCAAACCCGAAAGAUAAAAUAGAAACUCUCAAUAGAGAUAAGAUCAUAACACGAAUCGAUAAACAGCAGUCCGAAAUUGACCACAAUAACCUGACUAAGACCCAAAAUAGAAAUCCCAACCCGAUCGAUGACAUGAUUUGAUCACAAAAAAACCUCUAAGACUGUCACUGACGAUGAACAACAAACGUAGACAAACCUAAAAAAAAACUCCCAACGACACGACAAAAAUCGAGAUCCAAGAGAUUUCGGCGAAGUAGUCGCUGGAACAGUGACCAAACCUGCAAAACCCUUUUCCGAAUAACUUCGAAUCUACCCUUUUUUCUUCCUUAUUAUAGAUCGACCCUCAAAUCCCUCUCUUGCGUGCGAGUCACUCAAUAUUUUCCCUCAAACUCUCCACUACCUGAUUGUCUAUUCCAGUCGUGUAUUCUGUGUGCGUGAGUGAGUGUGAAUCAGUGAGGUGUAGUAUAUGAGAGUGUGUGUGUGUGAGUUACUGUGUAAAAGAAAAGAAGGCCCAAAAAAUAAAGUCUGUCAGUGUUUUUUUAAUGGAGAAGAUCAUGUUCUUGGUAUGUUAUGUGUAGAUGAUGAUAAGAGCAAGAACUAGAAAAAUUGUGAGGCCUUCCUCCCCUUUUCUCUCAUGCACUGUGUGUGUAUACAUUUCAAAGGAAAGAAAAAUAUUUUUGGAGACUUGUGGGUCCAUCCCCCUAGGUAAUUUCCUGGAAAAUUCCCUGGGUCCUUUCUUUGUUGACAAGCAAAAUAAAAAAGGAGGGAGGGGUCACGUGAGGUGGGGGUAGGAGGGGUAGGGGUUAGGAUAUGUGACCGUGUGGCCACUGUGUUAUUUGAUUUUGGUUCUACUUUGUCAUAUGUAUCUAUCAAUUUUGUUGUGGAUUUGGACAAGGUGUGUGUCUACUUGACUUUUCUAUUCACGUGCCCACUCCUGUGAGUGAUUCUCUUGUUGUUGAUAGGAUUCAUCAUUCUAGUUCUGUUAUGUUAUGGGGUAUCAAACUUGGGCAGAUUUUGUGAUUCUAGACAUGAUAGAUUUUGAUAUAAUUUUGGGUAUGAGUUGAUUAUCUAUAUAUCAUGCUAUGCUGCAUAGUCAUGCUAAGAUAGUGACUGUAGCUAUGCCGAAAAUGGAUAGACUUAAGUGGGAGGGUGAUUAUAGUCCUACUCCAAUGAAACUUAUUUCUUUCUGCGUGCAAAGAGGUUAAUUGGAAGAGGUUGUUUGACCUUCCUAGCAUAUCUUCGGGACACUUCCAUAGAGGUCCCAUCUAUUGAGUUAGUUUCUAUGGUGUGUGAGUUCCAAGAGGUUUUUCCUGAAGAUCUGCCUGGUAUGCCUCCAGGCUUUGACAUUGAUUUUUGUAUUGAUCUAGACCCAGAUACUCGUCCUAUUUCUAUUCCUUCCUAUAGGAUGUCUCCAGCUGAGUUAAGGGAGCUAAAGGCUUAGCUGCAGGAUUUAUUGAGUAAGGGUUUUAUUUGUUCGAUUGCCUCUCCAUGGGGUGGUCCUGUCUUGUUUGUGAAGAAGAACGAUGGUAGUCUUCUUAUGUGUAUAGACUAUAGGUAGAUGCACAAGUUAUAUUCCAUAAUAGGUAUCCUUUACCCUAUAUCAGUGAUUAUUUAACAAGUUAUAGGGUGCAUCUGUAUUUUCUAAGAUUGAUUUGAGCUCCGGGUAUCAUUAGCUUAAGAUCGAGUCUGCCGAUAUUUCUAAGCCUGUUUUCAAACCCGGUAUGGGCACUUUGAGUUUUUUGUGAUGUCUUUUGGGUUGACUAAUGCCCCAACUACCUUUAUGAGUUUGAUGAAGGGGAUAUUUAAACCUUACUUGAAUUUUUUCAUGAUUGUAUUUAUUGAUGAUAUUAUGGUUUAUUAUAGAGUAAAAAGGAACUUGAGAAUCACUUAAGGAUUGUUUGGGUUGUUAGAAGAGAAAAAGCUUGAUGCGAAGUUUUCUAAGUGCAGGUUCUAGUAGGUUUCUUUCUACUGUUCUUCAUAGAUAAUGUGUGAUAUAUAUUGUGUAUGGAUAUGGAUGUUAGGCUUGAUUAUGAGUAGGAUGACUUGGCCUCGAUUGUUAAUAUUUGGAGUUUAUACGCUGGCUUGGGACCCGUAAAAUGUCAUGUUUAUACCCUUUCUAAAUUCUAUUGCUUUUCCUCUCUAGUUUAAAUUAGUUGUAGCUUAGUUAUGAUGUAAACCUAUGUUUGGGAUGUGGUUUUAGUAUUUGAAGCAUGAUUUGUAUAUUUAGCCUUAUAGGGCUAGUUUGAUAGUCUUGAAAUCAUAAGUUGCAUAGAGUUGACUUGAGUACCCUUGUUUCUAGUCAAAGUUGCUAGCUUGAAUAUGGCUUACUUGACAUCUAGAAGAUAAAAUUGAUACCUUAGCCUAGUUUGGGGCAUAGUUUUCCUAAUUAUGGAAAGUGAGGUUUAGAAGUGGGAUCGUCUGGCCCAUUUAGGCCUAAACUUAUGUUAAGUAUUAUGGACUUAAUUGCGGAUGUUAGACAUAGAUGAGGGUAGUAAACCUUAGAACAAGGUUACUUGAUAACUUGGUAACUUUUAUUGAUGUUCCCAGAUUGUGGCUUUUGAGUUAUAGUUAUGAUACUUCCUAUGGAUGUGAUAUUGGGCAUUUAGAGAUGCUAUUUCCUCUUAGACUUGAUGAUUGACCCAUAGAGUUGCUAUUUUCUUUAGUCAUGAUUAUUGGACCACUAGAGACAAUGUUCCUCUUAGAUAUGCAAAUUGGCCGAGAGAGGUGAUAUUCCUCAUAGUCAUGAUGUAUGUGACCUAUCGAUAUAAGAUAUCCUAUAGACGAUUACAUGUGUCAUCUAUAUUAUACCUCCAAUAUGUGAGAUACUUUCUAUAUGUGAGACUAUUAGAGAUAUGCUAUGGCUUAUAAAUAUGAUUAUCGAUAUGAGUUUUGGAUAUGUAUAUGGGCCUAAGGCCGUGAUUAUAAUGUUGUGACUAUCCGAAUAAAUUAAUGGGACAAGAACUGGGUUAUGAUAAUGAUUGAAUAUCCGAGGAAUGUUUACCAAUGUAAAUGAUAGGACUACAGUUUAUGAAUACAUAUAUUUUUGUAUACACAUAUCUUUGGUAUGGGAUGGUGGAAUAUACAGUAUGUUAAUUACGACUUUAUUGAUUGUAUACUGGUUAUGGCAUGCAUAGAUUUGGUACAUUCAUGAUUAUUAUUUCGGUAAUUGAUGUGAUUGUAACUGAAAUAUGAUCUUACAAUUGUUCUGCCUAAUUAACGGCUAAGCUAUGUGGGAACUAGUUGUCUAUUAGGGGACUAUUGCUCUUGAUGGCUAGGAAUCUAAUGUAUUAGUUAAUGAAUCUUGCUUAAUUGAAACAUGGUAGCUAGAGAUGGUUAAUGCGUGACUUAUAGUGGGUCGGGUCUAGCAGAGGUGAAAAUUAGUUGGUAUUGAUAACUAAGUUUGUGAUAUUGAUUAGUCGAUAAACAAGGUGUUGUGUGUUAAUGAGGCAAGAUGAUAAGAGAUGUUGGUAAUAAGAGGUGACUAGUUAAUAACUUUGAAUAGUUACUAAAUGGUUAACUAAUUAAUAGUUAAGCAAGGAUUGUUGGUAAACGAUAAUUAGAUAAUGAAUAGUGUCAGUUAAUAAAAGAUAGUUAGGUGACAAGUAGUAAUGCAUUGUCUUGUAAUGAUUACUGGAUAUAGGAUGAUUAGUAGAUAAUAAUGAAUGAUGGAUAAAUGAAGAUUUUGGUCUAGUGAUGAACCUUGACUAGAUGUUAGAUGCUGGCUAUUAAAUAAGUAGUGGUUAGUUGCUAUCCCAUGAACAAGGAUAACGUGGAGGAUAAUGUUUAGUCUAAUAACUAGAGGUUAUGUGAUGACUAGAUAAUGUUUAUAGGCGCGUCUUUUGGUUAUGCAAUGACUAGCGAACUAGUGAUUCUAUUAUAAUGAGUAUUGGUUAGCUAAUAACGAGUAGUUGAGAAGUAUUGACUAGAUAGAUAUUCUAUGAUGAUAUGACUAUUUUUAUGAGUAUUUUAGUGUAUAUUAUUUGGUAAUGACUAUUAUGAUGAUAUGUUGAUUACCGAAAAGGCUGGAGGACACUAUUAUGAUAAUAUGUUGAUACCUGUCAAGGCCAGAGAAUACUAUUGUGACGAUAUUGAUAUCCGACAAGACCGGAGGACACUGUUGUGAUGAUGUUGAUACCUAGAAAGGCUGAAGAAUACUAUUGAUGAUGUGUUGAUAUUCGGCAAAGUCGGAGGUUGAUUACGAUGAUGAUGGUCCUGAUGAAGAUAGUUAUGAUGAGUUGUGAUACUGGUUGUGUACUUUGCCUUUAUUCCUACAUGUGCAUCGCAUAUCACUAGUAUGCACCUAUAUUUAUCAGCCGGUAUAGGAUGGUUGCAUAUAUAUGAGUGAAGAAUAUUUCUUGUGUUUUUGUAUACUAAUUAAACCUUUUGAGUCUGGGGCGGUGGGGGUACGCAUAGGCUCGGCUAAAUAUUUGGUUGUCCGUAAGUUGAGUGCUAAGGAGAUUGCAUCUGUGAAGGUCCAGAAGAAGAAUCUUCCUAUUGAGGAGGUCACUUUUUGCUGAUUCAAGUAAUUCCUUAGUACUUUCCUUGUCGCUUGUUUGUCAUUAGGGGACAAACGAUUGUUUAAUUAGUAUCUGAUGUAACGACCCUCCCGGUCGUUUGUGAAAUACUUACAUCUUUCUUAUUAGCUCUUCUUUUAGUUUCUAUACGUAAUUUAUGACUUACAGAGAUAGAUAGUACCGAUUCUUGAUGUGUUCCAGGUGAUUAAGUCCUUUGUUGAGUAUUUUAGAUAAUUAAUUUAAUUAGUGAUUUAAUGAGUUCAAAACUCAUAAUUUAACUACUUAUGGG